GUUAAGCUACUCCUCUUUUUUCUCACAAUCUCUGUGGUAGCAGUGCAAGAAAGUGCCCUGCACCACGCUUCUUCACCGUAUCCAUCAGACCCGGAAGAGGUUUUGGUCGAACCAGACGGCUCAAGGACCCACUCAGGUGUCACCAAACCAUCAUCCAAACCCACGUCAGGUAAAAUGAAUGAGAAAAUGUGGAGAAUCAAAGAAUGGGAUUGGGAGGUGGUGGUUAUGGGGUAAAAAGGAAACCUUGCAGGAGAGAGAGCAAAAGAGAUACGGGUGUUGCAGGCAUCUGUCGCAUGUGGUGCAGAAGUUGCCGGAGCCUCUGAACUGCCUUGUCUGUGGCCUUUGGUUUAUAAAUAUCACUUUUGCACUGUUUAUUAUGUAUGACUAACGAAAGAGAGAAGAGAGACAGUGAGUAUGAAUAAUUGAUUCAUUAUAGAAUAACAAAAUAAUAUAAUUUGCAGAGCGUAGAGAGAGAGGACUUCUUUUCUGAAAAUUUCAGCUUCCUUUUAUCAAACAGUGCUUUACCCAGAAGUUGACUGAUAAUCAAGCCAAAAGAGAGGUGUUUACAUCAUUUGAAAUUUCCUAACUCCCAGUUUUUCUUUUAUUUGAAACAAGUCUAAGCUUUGCAAAAUUCAUUCAAUUUUGUUGGAACUAAGGAGCAAACUUACUUGGACAGAGGCACAGUCCAUCAACUUAGUUGCAUCAUCCAACCUUAUAACAUCGUGAUAGACAUA